CCUACGGGAGGCAGCAGUGGGGAAUAUUGGACAAUGGGCGAAAGCCUGAUCCAGCCAUGCCGCGUGGGUGAAGAAGGCCCUCGGGUUGUAAAGCCCUUUUGUUGGGAAAGAAAUCUUUCCGGUUAAUACCCGGAGAGGAUGACGGUACCCAAAGAAUAAGCACCGGCUAACUUCGUGCCAGCAGCCGCGGUAAU
rnacentral:rRNA from 1 species